AGGUAAGACAUGGUCUUGUACCACAGUGGUUAAGAAUGUGACUUUGGAGCCAGCCUGCUAGGGGAUGAAUUCUGACUCAGCCAUUUACUAACUGGGUGACCUUAGUUCCCUGAGCACAUGCUGUUGAGUAAUCCUGCCUGGACCAGUCCUUCCCUCACCCUAGACUUCACCUUCAGUUCCCCUUUAUACCACCUGCUGAAGCUGCCAGCCAGCCUUUUCCACCACCCUCCCUCCCCCAAGGGUGUUUGGCUUCUCAGACCCUAGCCUGAGCUAGUGCCCUUGGCUCACUAGGGUCUUGCCAGGAAAGUCAAAGGAGAACAUACAUACUGCCAAAGAGUACCUAAUAAUGAGAAUUCCCAUGCUGAAUUGUGAUUUAUAGUCAGCAUAGCACAUGUGUCACAUGAUUAUACUUAGGCUGAUUUUAGCCCGAAUAAUCUGCUUCUGUGAUCCUGUAUGUGGAAAACCUAGAAAUUUCUCUGUGAUCCUCCUUCCUGGAUCACUAAGAGACAAGACAUAGGUUCAUUGUACCACCUGUAUUAAUCUGGGCCUUGUUGAGACCAUUUAAAAAAGGUGUGAUGCUAGAAGUAAGGUCCAGGCCUCCCACACACAGUUUCAAGGCUGUGACCAUAGUCAAAUCCUGUUGCUUUGAGUCCAAAGAGUUUAAAAUAGUGUUGGAAACCUCCUAGGGAAAACAAAAAAACAACACCAUAACUUCCUGGGUAAGGAAGUGACAUGUGUUGACUAGAGCAGGAGGGGUAGCCAAGGCUCCAAGUUCUAUUCUGGACCUGCUGUUGAUUUGAGGUGUGACAUUCAGCAAUCUGAGCUGAUGUUCUGUAGCUCAGAUUGGUUUCUCAUCUUCCGCAGAGAGAGUGAAAAGAGGCUGUGCUUGCAGUGGAAAAGGUGAAUACUGGUCUCUUGUCCUUUAGGAGAACCUCACCAUUGCACAUCCUGCCUCUCAUUUGAAUUUCCAGGCUUCUUUUUUAGAGUCUCGCUCUGUCGCCCAGCUUGGAGUGCAGUGGUGUGAUCUUGGCUCACUGCAAUCUCUGCCUCUGGGUUUAAGUGAUUCUCUCACCUCAGCCUCCCAAGUAGCUGAAAUUAUAGGUGUGUGCCAUCAUGCCUGGCUAAUUUUUGUUUUUUAGUAGAGAUGGGGUUUCACCAUGUUGGCCAGGCUUGUCUCGAACUCCUGACCUCAAUUGAUCCACCUGCCUCGGCCUCCCAACCAGGCUUCUUUUUUAAAUGCAGAAAUACCCCCCAACCCAGAGUUAGUAUAGAAACCCAGCAAUGUUGUUUAUGUUUUACUUGAAUUCAUUUCAUCAGAAUUGCAUUCCUUUUAACAGUGUGAUUAGAUCAGCUCUUGUAGGGGAUGGCAGCUUCAAUAGGGUUUAGGAAAGAAAAGGAAGAUUUGUGUGGGGCACACACAUUGGCUUUGAUAGCUUGAGGAUACCAGGUACAUGAUAGUUCAGAUGGAUAACAGAAACUUGUGUCCGUUGAGAGCCAGGCAUGUAUUAGAUGCUUUCAUAUAUAAUUUAAUUGUAGUACAAACCAAUAAAGUAUUCCCAUUUUUUGCACGUGAGCAAGCUGAAAAAGAAGUUAUAUAACUUGUCCAAGGUCACACAGCUAAUAAAAGGGCUGAGCUAGGA